AGACAAGCAGAUUUUUGAGAAUGGUUUAGUUCAGAAAUAGCACUGAUAAAACCAGAUUCUUUUGUAUGUGGGCUAACAAAAACAAAAUUCAGGCAUAUGUUAGAAACCCUUAGACUUCCAAAAUUCUGAAGGCAAGAAUUAAGGAUGUUGAGCCAUUAAGCUGCAAAUAUGUAUGACCCUUUAAGGAAAAGGCAGAAUGGACUUUAAGGCAGAUGCUUGUGGAGCAAGGGCAAGAGUGAAUAAACUAAAUGGAAUCUGAGGCCUGGGUCCAUCUUUGAGUCUAGUGAGGGGAGCUGCAAGUCAAAGAUUACCGUCCAGGCCUUAAAACCUAACAAAAUUUUUCUUGCUAGAUUUGAACUUGAUUAGGACUGGUGAACCUCCUUUACAUAUAAUUUCUUUCUUCUGAAAUGGAAUAUAUAUGUUAUAUCAGUCCUACCAUCAAUUUUGAAGGCAAAUAAUUUGCUUUCUACAUUCAUAGUUCCACAAAUGGAGAGUAAUUUUAUUUGAUUUUGGAUUAUAUCCAGAGUCUAACCUAUUUAAAUGAGUUAAAUGAUGAGUUGUAAUUUUGAGCUACAGAGAUGAUGAUAUAGAGAUGAUGAUACAGAGAUGAGAUUCUAGUUGAGAUUUCUGGGGAUGGUAGGAUUGAUUAAAUAUAUUUUGCACAUAAGAUGCACAUGAAUUCUGACAGGCCAGAGGAUGACUACAGUAGGUUAAAUUGUCACUUCCAUAAAGAUACUUUUUCAUCUGAAACCUUGAUAUUGGUAAAUGUUAACUUCUUUGAGAAAAGAAUUUUUGCAUAUGUAAUGAAAUUGAGGUUUUUCAAUUAAGAAACCAUUCUGGAUUAUCUUUGUCUGACCCAAAUCCAAUGAAAAGUGAUAUUAUAUGGGUAUUCCAGAAGAAUCUUUGAUAUAACAGAAAAUGAGAUCAUAUAAAGAAGGGAAGGAUGUGAUGUGAACACAGAGGGAGACAUAGGUGUAGUGUGACUACAAUCCAAGAAAGAUGAGGAAUUUCAAUUAGCAAAGAAACUGGAAUAUUCAAGGGAGGAAAUUUCCUCUACAGAAUGUGGAGGCAGUGUGGCCUUUCCAACAUACUGAUGCUCACUUCUUUCUUCCAUGGUUGUUAAGAAGUAAAUUGGAAUUUUAUUACAGCAAACACAGGAAACUAAUAUGCCCUAAUAAUUUUCUUUCAUAUUUAAUUGCAUAUCAGGACUAUUUCUCUGAGGUCCUGGACUAAAACAACUGAGAAAGAUUUUAUCAGCUGGAUCUGAGAAUCAUAGAUAUUUCUUUCAGAUAUGUUAAAUAUAAGAUGUCUCUAACAUAUUUAAAUGGGAAUAUUAUGUAAGCACUUCAGUGUAUAAUUCCAACGACCAGUAGAAAUGCCAAUGUUGAUGAUGUGAAUGUGGUAACAUUGACACUAAGAGGUAUGAGACCAAAUGUAUCCUGUUUUACAGGUUAUGACUUAAAAAAAGGAGAUGGGUAUGCCAUUCCCUGGAGGAUUUCAGCAUUUCAAGUGCCAUAAGAGAACAAGAGGAGUAGAAGAAAUAAUGAGGAACUCCUACUAUGUUCACAAGUUUCAAUACUGCUCCUGAAAUUUGGCCACUACCAAGAAGGUGCUUGCGGUUUUGUGUGAAGAUGUGUACCACCUCCAAGCCCCAUGAAAUGGCCUUCUAUUGGCUUGGUGAAGGGAAUGUUGAACAUCACUGUGAAACUCAGAAACUACUGUGAAAGAGUCAUACUUUCUUGGAAUCUACUGAUCGGUGGGUGUUGAAAUGACACGAAAGCACUGAGGAGGGGCUUUUCCUGAGAAUGAAGGUACAGGAUUACUGCUGGAUCAUGAGAACUCUGUAUGGCCUCAAGCAAGUUAUUUCCCCUCAUCCUGAUAAACAGAGUGAAGUCCCUGGCAGGCUGUCCUCGCCUGAUAAAAGGGAAAGGCAAGAAGAUCAGGGUGGAGACCACCAGACCACAUCUUUCUGACCCCAGGGUAAAUGAUGUCAUGGAGAAAUAUUGUGGUAACUGAUGAAGAUUGAAAGGGGAGUCAAAAGACCCCAAAUUUAGUAUACAUAAUAAAGCUGAUGAACAGGGAUUCAGCCAGUCAAAACAAGGAUGCACUCGAGCUGGAGAGCCUGAUGAGGACUUGACAUCCAAUCACUUGUCAUUCUUCCUGAUCCUCUGAGUGAUUCUCACCACUCUCAAAAUUUACUGUUUCAUCUGUACCUCGGUGAGAGCCAUAAUUUCUCCCUAUGACCCUCUCCUCAACUGGUCAGCCACUCCACUCCAGGAAAAGCCUGCCUUGGUUCUGGACCUGAUCACCGUGGUCUAAGUGAGUGCAUCUGCUGGACAUAAAGCCUAAGGCUUAAGACUUUUGAACUCAGCAUGCAGAGGGAAUGUCUGUCCUUAGCCUGUCAUGAUUAAUUGUGUUUUUGCAGUGUUUAGAAUUAAUCUAGAGUUGUUUCCUGUGAAUUGAUUAAUCUAGAAUUGUUUGCUGUGAAUUGAUUAUGUCUAUUGCAGUGCCUAGCAUUAAGGAUUGUCAUUUUCUUGAUUAAGAACCUAUAGAGUAAAACUGUAUUGAGUAAUUUCAGUGAAUAAAGUAUUGAAAGAGGCAGAAGCAUGUAGACAUUCUUUAUUUCUCCCCUAGACUGCAUAUGUCACAAUUUGGCCCCCCUCAUGACAGUUGGCAUACUCAGCAGUCAAGGAAACAGAUACUUAAUGUCUGGGAGAAAUGUCUUGUCCUGCCUGUGUGGCAACAACAUACAAAAUUCAGAAACUUUUUUUAUAAGACUGUUAAACUUAUUAUGACAUUUAUAUUGGCAAUUAUAGCAAUAACCUAACCGGAUAUUACACCUUCUGCAAAGACAUGUAUCAAAUUGGUAAUAACACCAUACAGAUACACCAUCAUAUAGCAAACUACACAAUGUGCUUCCUAGACAGAUACAUACAAAAGCACAUGAACUGGAUAGGAAAGAUACCUAGAAAAUCAAAUUGCAAAAGCACUAAAACAAAUAGACACAGAUACAUCUUUUGUGAGGUAUUAUAGUAAAAAGUAUACUAAAUUGGUCUACAGCAUAUUGACAAAAUGAGGAAAUUAAAGAACAUCUUUAAAAAGAAAGAAAGUAGCAAGGAACUUAGCUCUGCUAGUCCCUGGAGAGAACAGUGCAAGGGAAACUGCCAGGAUUUACCAAGAGAACUAAAGGAAUCGAUAUCCUCCCUAUCCCACCCAGAGGGAGUUAAGCCAAUUAUUGCUAGAGCCACUCCAAAAUAAAUCCCAGGAUUGCUAGUUAAAACUAUUAAUGACAUAUGUGAAGUUAGAACUAAAGGAAAAACCUUAGUAGGAACGGCAAAAAAGUCACCCAGACAAUUGUGAAGUUUUACUGGUAACUACACUAAAGGUGACCAAAAUGCCAAGGAAAGGGGGUCAGAUGAUAGUGAUAAUGAACAGGAAGUUGAAGUGAGAACUUUUAGUAGAAUACAGCUGCAGCAGUUAAGGAAUAAAUUUGCCCAGAAGGGAGGGAGCGAGAUGUAGAAUUUUUAUCAAGACUGUGGGAACAUGGAGCCCACACCAUUAGAGUUAAGGGAGAUGAAAUGAUGCAAUACCCUCUAUAGUAAAAAAUGAAUCUAUAUAUGAGGGUUUAGUGGCUGAAACUAGUGAGAAAAGGUUGCAGGAACACACUAUCCUGGAAUGGAUAAAAUUAGCUUGAGUGUGGGCAUUUCCCAUGAUAGAUACAGGCAGUUUUGGAUCACAGAUACAAUGGAUUACACAUCAACAGGCUAAUAAAUUAACUAGAAAAUUAGGAAUAUAUUUUAUGAUAUACAAUACACACACACACAUACACACACACACACACACACACACACACACACACUCAUACAUGUAACAUGACGUUACAGGCAGAGCUGUUACCUCAGAUGAAAAGUCUAAUAAUUAUAGGUGGUCCACCUCAUCUCUGAGUAACUUUAACAUCAGCAUUACAAGGCAUGCAUACACAACAAGAUGUAGUUACUUAUUUUAAGGAAGCUAAAUAGCUGAAUAGUGCUAGAUCUUUUUCUUUCCCAGCUUAAUCCUCAUCACAACAGUUUACUGUUCCAGCUUAGUCCUCACAAAACCAGAUUAGAUUCCCUAAUCAUAACAACAGACAGCAAAGGCAGCCUUGUGUAAACACAAAGCCACCCAGAAGAAAGGCCCUGUCAGGGAGGGGUUUCACACCCAGGAGGCCCAGGAGCAGUACACCAUUAAGAAGACAAGGCCAGAGACUCCACUCAGGAUGCAGAGUUCAUUCAAACAGAGGACCCAUACCAAACAACAAGCAAAGAAGAAAAAACAACAACUUACCCAAACACAACAGCAACUUCAGGCACACAAACACACCAAUUUUAAUAGGUACAUGACGUUCAACAGACAAGGAAACCAGGAGUCAGACAACAUUUUCAAUAUUAUAACAACCUGGGAAUAAUAGAAUAUAUAGAGAUUUACCUUUAAAAAA